GAGAGAGGUGACAUAAGGAGAGAGAAAGCUACAAAGUGCAGUGGAAGAAAACUUGCAUUCUGAUUGAGUGCUGAGACCUG